rnacentral:rRNA from 1 species
UACAGAGGGUGCGAGCGUUGUUCGGAAUCAUUGGGCGUAAAGGGCGUGUAGGCGGUUUGUUAAGUCAUGUGUGAAAUCCCUCGGCUCAACCGGGGAAGGACGCAUGAAACUGGCAAGCUAGAGUACCAAAGAGGGGGGUGGAAUUCCCGGUGUAGCGGUGAAAUGCGUUGAGAUCGGAAGGAACGCCCGUGGCGAAAGCGAGGUCCUGGACGCCUACUGACGCUGAGACGCGAAAGCCAGGGGAGCGAACGGG